rnacentral:rRNA from 1 species
UGAACGCUGGCGGCGUGCCUAAUACAUGCAAGUCGAGCGAACAGACAAGGAGCUUGCUCCUUUGACGUUAGCGGCGGACGGGUGAGUAACACGUGGGUAACCUACCUAUAAGACUGGGAUAACUUCGGGAAACCGGAGCUAAUACCGGAUAAUAUUUCGAACCGCAUGGUUCGAUAGUGAAAGAUGGUUUUGCUAUCACUUAUAGAUGGACCCGCGCCGUAUUAGCUAGUUGGUAAGGUAACGGCUUACCAAGGCGACGAUACGUAGCCGACCUGAGAGGGUGAUCGGCCACACUGGAACUGAGACACGGUCCAGACUCCUACGGGAGGCAGCAGUAGGGAAUCUUCCGCAAUGGGCGAAAGCCUGACGGAGCAACGCCGCGUGAGUGAUGAAGGUCUUCGGAUCGUAAAACUCUGUUAUUAGGGAAGAACAUACGUGUAAGUAACUAUGCACGUCUUGACGGUACCUAAUCAGAAAGCCACGGCUAACUACGUGCCAGCAGCCGCGGUAAUACGUAGGUGGCAAGCGUUAUCCGGAAUUAUUGGGCGUAAAGCGCGCGUAGGCGGUUUUUUAAGUCUGAUGUGAAAGCCCACGGCUCAACCGUGGAGGGUCAUUGGAAACUGGAAAACUUGAGUGCAGAAGAGGAAAGUGGAAUUCCAUGUGUAGCGGUGAAAUGCGCAGAGAUAUGGAGGAACACCAGUGGCGAAGGCGACUUUCUGGUCUGUAACUGACGCUGAUGUGCGAAAGCGUGGGGAUCAAACAGGAUUAGAUACCCUGGUAGUCCACGCCGUAAACGAUGAGUGCUAAGUGUUAGGGGGUUUCCGCCCCUUAGUGCUGCAGCUAACGCAUUAAGCACUCCGCCUGGGGAGUACGACCG